rnacentral:rRNA from 1 species
GAUGAACGCUAGCUACAGGCUUAACACAUGCAAGUCGAGGGGCAGCAUUUUAGUUUGCUUGCAAACUAAAGAUGGCGACCGGCGCACGGGUGAGUAACACGUAUCCAACCUGCCGAUAACUCGGGGAUAGCCUUUCGAAAGAAAGAUUAAUAUCCGAUAGUAUAUUAAAACCGCAUGGUUUUACUAUUAAAGAAUUUCGGUUAUCGAUGGGGAUGCGUUCCAUUAGUUUGUUGGCGGGGUAACGGCCCACCAAGACUACGAUGGAUAGGGGUUCUGAGAGGAAGGUCCCCCCACAUUGGAACUGAGACACGGUCCAAACUCCUACGGGAGGCAGCAGUGAGGAAUAUUGGUCAAUGGACGAGAGUCUGAACCAGCCAAGUAGCGUGCAGGAUGACGGCCCUAUGGGUUGUAAACUGCUUUUAUAAGGGAAUAAAGUGGGAGUCGUGACUCUUUUUGCAUGUACCUUAUGAAUAAGGACCGGCUAAUUCCGUG